UACGUAGGGUGCGAGCGUUGUCCGGAAUUACUGGGCGUAAAGAGCUCGUAGGUGGUUUGUCGCGUUGUUCGUGAAAACUCACAGCUUAACUGUGGGCGUGCGGGCGAUACGGGCAGACUGGAGUACUGCAGGGGAGACUGGAAUUCCUGGUGUAGCGGUGGAAUGCGCAGAUAUCAGGAGGAACACCGGUGGCGAAGGCGGGUCUCUGGGCAGUAACUGACGCUGAGGAACGAAAGCGUGGGUAGCAAACAGG
rnacentral:rRNA from 1 species